AGUAACGGCGAGUGAAGCGGGAUGAGCUCAAAUUUAAAAUCUGGCUGGUUUACUAGUCCGAAUUGUAGUUUAAAGAAGCGUUUUCGGUGGCAGUCUCGGUAUAAAUCCUUUGGAAUAGGGUAUCAUAGAGGGUGAGAAUCCCGUCUUUGACUGAGAAUUUGCUACUAUGUGAUACGUUUUCAAAGAGUCGAGUUGUUUGGGAAUGCAGCUCAAAAUGGGUGGUAAAUUUCAUCUAAAGCUAAAUAUUGGCGAGAGACCGAUAGCGAACAAGUACCGUGAGGGAAAGAUGAAAAGAACUUUGAAAAGAGAGUUAAACAGUGCGUGAAAUUGUUGAAAGGGAAACGCUUGAAACCAGUCAUGUGGUUGGAAAAUCAGUGUUCAAUUGGGGGGAAUGGGGGAGGUGUGGACCGCAAGGCUGCUCUUUUCUAUAUCUCUUUUGUUGGGCAUGCACUUUUUCUGCCGCAGGUCAACAUCAGUUUCUUUUGCUGGACAAAACUCUUGAGAAGGUAGCAGCUUAGGCUGUGUUAUAGCUCUGGAGCGAUACAGUGAAGGGGACUGAGGUUUUCGCAGCAUGUGCUCUCGGGCAAGGCCAAUUGGGUGCUAUGGGAUCGUUCGGGGUACAAUACAUGUAUUUUGCUUCGUGUCCUUUCUAUACUCGUUCAAUUGAGCUC
rnacentral:rRNA from 2 species